rnacentral:tRNA from 1 species
CGGGGUGUGGCUCAGCUUGGCUAGAGCGCUUGCUUCGGGAGCAAGAGGUCGCUGGUUCAAAUCCAGUCACCCCGACCA